AGAGUUUGAUCCUGGCUCAGGACGAACGCUGGCGGCGUGCUUAACACAUGCAAGUCGAGCGGAAAGGCCCUUCGGGGUACUCGAGCGGCGAACGGGUGAGUAACACGUGAGUAACCUGCCCUUGGCUCUGGGAUAAGCCCGGGAAACUGGGUCUAAUACCGGAUAUAACCACUAGAUGCAUGUCUUGGUGGUGGAAAGUUUUUCGGCUGGGGAUGGACUCGCGGUCUAUCAGCUUGUUGGUGGGGUGAUGGCCUACCAAGGCGACGACGGAUAGCCGGCCUGAGAGGGUGACCGGCCACACUGGGACUGAGACACGGCCCAGACUCCUACGGGAGGCAGCAGUGGGGAAUAUUGCGCAAUGGGCGAAAGCCUGACGCAGCGACGCCGCGUGGGGGAUGAAGGCCUUCGGGUUGUAAACCUCUUUCACCACCGACGAAGCUAACGUGACGGUAGGUGGGGAAGAAGCGCCGGCUAACUACGUGCCAGCAGCCGCGGUAAUACGUAGGGCGCAAGCGUUGUCCGGAAUUAUUGGGCGUAAAGAGCUCGUAGGCGGUCUGUCGCGUCUGCCGUGAAAACCCGAGGCUUAACCUCGGGCUGGCGGUGGAUACGGGCAGACUAGAGGUAGGUAGGGGAGAAUGGAAUUCCCGGUGGAGCGGUGAAAUGCGCAGAUAUCGGGAGGAACACCGGUGGCGAAGGCGGUUCUCUGGGCCUUACCUGACGCUGAGGAGCGAAAGCGUGGGGAGCGAACAGGAUUAGAUACCCUGGUAGUCC
rnacentral:rRNA from 1 species